AACGAACGCUGGCGGCGUGCUUAACACAUGCAAGUCGAACGGAAUUAGGGGCUUGCUCCUAAUUUAGUGGCGCACGGGUGAGUAACGCGUGGAUAACCUACCCUGGUAUCUGGGAUAACAUCUCGAAAGGGGUGCUAAUACCGGAUAAGCCCACGGUCUCUUCGGGGAUUGCGGGAAAAGAUGGCCUCUAUUUAUAAGCUAUCGUAUCAGGAUGGGUCCGCGUACCAUUAGCUAGUUGGUGGUGUAAUGGACCACCAAGGCGACGAUGGUUAGCUGGUCUGAGAGGAUGAUCAGCCACACUGGAACUGAGACACGGUCCAGACUCCUACGGGAGGCAGCAGUGGGGAAUUUUGCGCAAUGGGGGAAACCCUGACGCAGCAACGCCGCGUGAGUGAUGAAGGCCUUCGGGUCGUAAAGCUCUGUCAGAGGGGAAGAAGUGAUAGUGUGCUAAUACCACAUUAUCUUGACGGUACCCUCAAAGGAAGCACCGGCUAACUCCGUGCCAGCAGCCGCGGUAAUACGGAGGGUGCAAGCGUUGUUCGGAUUUAUUGGGCGUAAAGCGCGUGUAGGCGGUCUUUUAAGUCUGAUGUGAAAGCCCCGGGCUCAACCCGGGAAGUGCAUUGGAAACUGGGAGACUUGAAUACGGGAGAGGGUAGUGGAAUUCCUAGUGUAGGAGUGAAAUCCGUAGAUAUUAGGAGGAACACCGGUGGCGAAGGCGGCUACCUGGACCGAUAUUGACGCUGAGACGCGAAAGCGUGGGGAGCAAACAGGAUUAGAUACCCUGGUAGUCCACGCCGUAAACGAUGAGUACUAGGUGUUGCGGGUAUUGACCCCUGCAGUGCCGCAGCUAACGCAUUAAGUACUCCGCCUGGGAAGUACGGUCGCAAGACUA
rnacentral:rRNA from 1 species